CACCUCAUAAUAUAUAAUGUAAUACUAUUCACAGGGGUUUGAUCUAACACUUCUCCACAUAUAAUCAAGGUCUGACAAAACAAGAUGGGAUCUCAGUCCUCAUCCGGGUUGUACUGAGGAUCCUCCUCGUGGUCAUCUUCUUCUCCAAAAUGUUCCUCCUCAUUUGGUUCCAGAUCAGGGUUCUCCUCUUCAGGUUCCUUCUCCUCAGGCUCUUCAUCAGGGUCCUGAAAUGGUUAUUCAAUAACCAUUGAGACCACGUCUCAGCAAGUUCUACCCCCUAAGACUCGAUUAGUAAACUAAUAUGCUAACCGGGCUACCUAUACACAUACGAGUCAGAGGACUUACCUUGGCCUCAGAUUCUACCUGCAUAUUAGCACAGUUCAGUAGGCACCCAAGUAAUCACAUUACUGAUCGAAGCAUCGAUCAAAUCGACCUAGUCGAUUACAUGUCAAUCAGACCAUCUUAUGGUCAUUUCCGAUCAAUCAGUCAAUUCACAAUAUCAUAUCAAAGCAAUGAUCAAUCGACCUAGUCGAUUACAUGUCAUCACGACCCAUGCUUGGUCGGCACAUUUAAUACUAUCUAUAAGUUUGACCAUAGUUCAGGACUGCUCACUCUAAGCUGAUAUAUAGGUAGUAUAGCUCGCACUAAGCUGAUAGGGUUAAGGUAUACUGCUCUCGCUAAGCUGACAUAUCGCCCGUAGGCUGAUAUAGUGUACCGGUAUACUGCUCUCGCUAAGCUAACAUAUCGCCCACAGGCUGAUAUAUUAUACCCCCGAUGCUCACACUAAGCUGAUAAAGUUUACUGCUCGCGCUAAGCUGACAUAUCGUCCGUAAGCUGAUAUAGUACACCGGUAUACUGCUCUCUCUAAGCUGACAUAUCAGAGCCCGUAGGAUGAUAUAGUAUACUAUCCAACCAUUCAAUCCAUUCCAUCUUUUAUCCUUAUCGAUAAAAUAGCCGUGUGUGGGGACACGGUUGGCCUUAGCUAAAAUAUAAUAUUUUCCUUUCCAUAACUCCCACAUUUUCUAUAGUCCACUCAAAUAUUUUUGGCAUUAUUAAUCGAUGCCCGGUUAUUUUUCAAUUAAUAACCAAUGAUUAUCCAAUUAAAGAAUAAUUCCCUCUUUCACAAAUAAUUCAAUUCAGCAUGAAAUAGAGCUCAAUUAAAUAAACAGACUGCACCACGAUCAUCAGCAUAAAAUUCCGGUCGCUGACCAUCCCAGUUGAAUUUCCGGGAAAUAAAUAAUUAAAUAAUUAAUUUCGGAAAAUAAAUAAAUAAAUACAAUAAAUUCAAUUUAGCACAAUAUAAAGCUCAAUUAAAUAAAUGGACUGCACCACGAUCAUCAGCAUAAAAUUCCGGUCGUCGGCUAUCCUUGCCUAAUUUCCGGAAAAUAAAUAAUUUAUUAAAUUAAUUUCGAAAAUAAUAAUUAAAUACUAAAAAUCCAAUUUAGGCCCAUAAUGCCUAAUUGGACGCCAGAACGGAUCGAGAAAAAUCCCGAGAUGCAUUCAAUAAAUAGAAGUAUGUCUCUACUUGCUAAUAACUAAGUCUAACCACCUAACAUGCAUCAUUAAGUCACUAAUUUAAUUGUCCUAAACUAAUCUAACCACCUAAUUGCACUUAAUUAAAUAUAACCAACCCCUAAGCAUAAAUAGCAAACUAAGAAAGCAUUAGUGAGUAAAACUCACUUGGUAAAAGCGGAGACCGAAUCACCACGAUGGCAACGCAACAACAGCCGAAACUCGGGUUUUUGGCGAUAUCGACGGGCACAGGGACCGGGCCUAAAAGCCUCGCAAGCCCACAGAAAAUUCUGGGCUUGGACUGAACUUGGGCCUGAGCUUGGGUUGACUUGCUUAGCGGGCUUGGGCUUCAAGAUUGGGCUGCUGAAUUGGGCCUCAAAUUACUGGGCUGAUCUUGCUUUAAAGAAACUGUUGGGCUGAUUUCUUGAGGGCCUGACUUUGCUUGGGCUUCAAAUGGCGUGGGCUCAAUGAAGCUGCUGUUCACUUGGGCUGCGACAAUUUCGUGUGGGCUGCUGUACGCUUGUCUUCGGAUGAGAUGGACUCGGACGAGAUGACCGAUCGAAGAAGCAGCAAAGGCUGCUGUUGGGCCACGAAAACUGAAGACCAACGUUACUGGAGUAGGCAGUUUCGCUGGCAGAUUGCUUCGGCAAGGAAAUCCACGGAUGCGGGGUCAACGGCGAGGAAAGCAGCUGGAUUCUUGACCGCGUGGAGUGAAGAUCGGUGGGGGAGAGAGAGACGUGCGCAGAGACGAGCGGAGGUGGGAGCUUCGAGCGGUUUGCUGGUCAACAACCGACAGCUUCGGUGGACUUCUUUCGUUGAAAUAAGCUUGACCGAACAAGCUGGAUGGACUUCGGCUUCGCUGACAGCUUCAAGGAAUUUCGGUGGAGAGACAGCAAGAGGGGGAGAGAGAUCACGGGGCUGUGGUCUUCGAUGAUGCUGGGCCGGGAGACGCGGACGAAGGAAGUAGCAGCUACGGUCUAUGUUGCUGGAGUCAACACUCGAACAUGGGGUUUAACUGGUGUUGACUGUGGGGACGCGUGGCUGUAAGAUGGAGGGGUCUGCAAACCGAAGUCAGCUUCGGUUGAGUUGGGGUUGCUUCAGCGGCUCGUCUUCAUGAAGUUGGAUGAAGAUACGUCGAAGAAAAAGAACAAAAAGGGGCAGAAGGUUUCGGUAGAGAUGGCGGUUCUUUGCAAAGAGGAAUGAAAGCGAAGCAGAACUGCAAAGAUGGAGAGGGAAUGAUCGUGGAACCGGAGCUGUUUGCUUUGACGAGAUGAAAAGAAAAGUGAGGCAGAAGCAGGAGACGUCGCACAAAUGGAGGGAGGCGGUGGACAGGCGUGCGAUGGAAGGAAGCCAGCUAAGAUGAAAUAAAAAUCCUCAAUCCUUAGCCAAUACAUUAAUACCUUGGCCCCACAAGCCCACAAUGUUAUCCUCUUU
rnacentral:lncRNA from 1 species